GACGAACGCUGGCGGCGUGCUUAACACAUGCAAGUCGAACGAAGAGCGAUGGAAGCUUGCUUCUAUCAAUCUUAGUGGCGAACGGGUGAGUAACGCGUAAUCAACCUGCCCUUCAGAGGGGGACAACAGUUGGAAACGACUGCUAAUACCGCAUACGAUCUAAUCUCGGCAUCGAGGAUAGAUGAAAGGUGGCCUCUACAUGUAAGCUAUCACUGAAGGAGGGGAUUGCGUCUGAUUAGCUAGUUGGAGGGGUAACGGCCCACCAAGGCGAUGAUCAGUAGCCGGUCUGAGAGGAUGAACGGCCACAUUGGGACUGAGACACGGCCCAGACUCCUACGGGAGGCAGCAGUGGGGAAUCUUCCGCAAUGGACGAAAGUCUGACGGAGCAACGCCGCGUGAGUGAUGACGGCCUUCGGGUUGUAAAGCUCUGUUAAUCGGGGCGAAAGGCCUUCUUGCGAACAGUUAGAAGGAUUGACGGUACCGGAAUAGAAAGCCACGGCUAACUACGUG
rnacentral:rRNA from 1 species